UACUUAGGGUGCGAGCGUUGUCCGGAAUUAUUGGGCGUAAAGGGCUCGUAGGCGGUCUGUUGCGUCGGGAGUGAAAACUCAGGGCUUAACCCUGAGCCUGCUUCCGAUACGGGCAGACUAGAGGUAUGCAGGGGAGAACGGAAUUCCUGGUGUAGCGGUGAAAUGCGCAGAUAUCAGGAGGAACACCGGUGGCGAAGGCGGUUCUCUAGUACGGUACUGACGCUGAGACGCGAAAGCGUGGGGAGCGAACAGG
rnacentral:rRNA from 1 species